GUGGGGAAUAUUGGACAAUGGGCGCAAGCCUGAUCCAGCCAUGCCGCGUGGGUGAUGAAGGCCUUAGGGCUGUAAAGCUCUUUCAGUGGGGACGAUAAUGACGGUACCCACAGAAGAAGCCCCGGCUAACUUCGUGCCAGCAGCCGCGGUAAUACGAAGGGGGCUAGCGUUGUUCGGAUUUACUGGGCGUAAAGCGCACGUAGGCGGAUCGUUAAGUCGGGGGUGAAAUCCUGGAGCUCAACUCCAGAACUGCCUUCGAUACUGGCGAUCUUGAGUCCGGAAGAGGUGAGUGGAACUCCUAGUGUAGAGGUGGAAUUCGUAGAUAUUAGGAAGAACACCAGUGGCGAAGGCGGCUCACUGGUCCGGUACUGACGCUGAGGUGCGAAAGCGUGGGGAGCAAACAGGAUUAGAUACCCCUGUAGUCC
rnacentral:rRNA from 1 species